rnacentral:lncRNA from 1 species
CCCAAGGCAGGGACCUGGCAGAGGAUGUGACUGAGACUCCAAGGGCCUGCAGCUCCAGCACCAUUGAACGCUCUGGUGAGCCUGAUAUCUUUCAACUCCCUGUGCAUGGCCGAGAAAACCAAGCACAGCUCCACUGGCCAUAGACUUCAUUGACUGGCGCCAGGACCAAACACUCGGGGAUCGGAUUAAAUCAGCUCACCACAUAGAAACCAGCAAAGACCCAUUGACCAGCAUGAAGAUCCAGAGCUUCUCACCUCCUGCCGUGAUGUCAUAUGAGCUCCCUGCCAAACACAGCGCCAUUUUGAAGGAGGAGGAGCGAGAGGGGAGAAAGAGCUCUGGCAGGGAAGUGAACUUUAAGUUGAUUGAAUAUUUACUUGGAAGAGACUUUUUAAUCUAAAAGAGAUUAUUAUAAACCAAAAGAGCCUGAGGUAACUUUAACUGCAAGACCAAGUGUUGCUGUUAUUCUGGCUAUCUAGGAAAACAAAGGUGCGCACUGAUACUCUAUUUUCUACAUCUGAGUGCGUAUUAUUAGUGAAAAAAAAAAUGUCAUCCUUUCUCCUGAUGUUUCCUUUUAUGUGUAGGGAGUUCAGUGAACAUAACCCCCGGCCUCUCUCUGCCCGUUUUCUUUUCAUUCCUGGAGCGAUAGUUUCAAACCUGAUUGAUAAAUUAGCGAAUAACUGGGCGUUCGUGGCUAACCAAUCUCCUCUUCCUCCUGGAAGGGAGCCUAACAGCAGACAAAUUCCCCUCUGUUCUUCCUUUUCCUAGAUCCUUCCAGACCCAGUAUUGCCUGUGACUGGGUGGGGUGUCUGCCUAAUUUGGGGACUCAUUUAGCAACGUCCUCCAGUCUCCUUCAUAAUACUUUGGUCUCCAUUUUUUUAAUUGAAGAUAAAAUUAACAUAAUAUGAAAUUCACCAUUAUGCUUUAAAGAAUACAAUUCAGUGGCUUUUAUUACAUUCACAAUGUCGUGUAACAAUCACCACUAUGUAAUUCCGGAACAUUUUUAUCAGCCCCCCCCAAAAAACCGCAUUCCCAUUAAGCAGUCGCUGUCCACACCCUCUACCUCUGGUCUCGGCAACCAUUGAUCUGCUUUCUGUCUCUAAGGACUUUCCUACAAAUGGAAUCAUAUAACGGGUGGCCAUUUAUGACGGGCUUUUUUCUCUUAGCGUGCUUUAAGGUUAAUCCAUGUUAUUGCAUGUAUCAGUACUUCAUUUCUUUUUGCGCCGGAAUAAUAUUCCAUUGUAUGGACAUACCACAUUUUAUUUAUCCAUUCAACAGUUAAUGGACGUUGGUAUUAUUUCUACUUUUUGGCUAUUAUGUAUAAUACUGCUACGAAUAUUCAUGUACAAGUUUUUGUUUGAACACUUGUUUUCAUUACUCUUGGGUAUGUAGCAAUUGCCUAGCAGUGCAAUUGCUGGGUCAUAUAAUUCUAUAUUGAACUUUUGAGUAACCGCCAAACUUUCGCACAGCAGUGGCACCAUUUUACAGUCCCACCAGCAAAGUAUGAGGGUUCCAGUUUCUCCGUAUCCUUGCCAACACUUGUUUUUUCCUUUUUUUAAAAAAAAUUAUAGCCAUCCUAGCGGGUGUGAAGUGGUAUCUCAUUGUGGUUUUGAUUUGCAUUUCCCUAGUGACUAAUGAUAUUGACAACGUUUUUAUGUGCUUGUUAGCCAUUUCUAUAUCUUCUUUGGAGAAAUAUCUAUUCACGUCCUCUCCCCAUUUUUAAUUGGGUUAUCUUUCAGUUGUUAAGUUGUAAAAGUUUUUUAUAUAUUCUGGAUUCUAGACCCAGUUCAGAUACAUGAUUUGCAAAUAUUUUCUCCCAUUAUAUGGGUUGCUUUUCACUUUCUUGAUCAUGUCCUUCGAUGACAAAAGCUUUUAUUUUUGAUGAAGUCCAAUUUAUCCAUUUUUUCUUUUGUUGCUUGUUCUUUUGUUGUCAUAUCUAAGAAUCCGUUGCCAAAUCCAAGGUCAUGAAGAUUUUUCCUUAUAUUUUUUUCUAAGAGCUUUCUAUUUUAGCUCCUACAUUUAGGUCUUUGAUCCAUUUUGAGUUAAUUUUUGUGUAUGGUAUGAGGUAGCAGUCCAACUUCAUUCUUUUGGGUAUUUGUUUUGUCCCAGCACAAUUUGUUGCAAAGACUAUUCUUUCCCUAUUGAAUACUCUUGGCACCUUUGUCAAAAAUCAAUUGACCAUAGAUGUAUAGGUUUAUUUCUAAACUCUCAAUUCUGUUUCAUUGAUCUAUAUGUCUAUCCUAGUGUUGGCACCACGUCAUCUUGAUUACGAUAGUUUCCUGGUAAGUUUUGAAAUUGGAAAGAGUGAGUACUUCAACUUUGUUCUUUUUUUUCAAGUUUGUUUUGAAUAUUUGGGGUCCCUUGAAAUUCCAUAUGAAUUUUAGGGUCAGCUUUUCCAUUUCUGCAAAAAAGCCAUUGGAAUUUUGGUCGAUAUUGCACUGGAUCUGUAGACCACUUUGCGGAGCAUUGCCAUCUUAAGAAAAUUAAGUCUUCCAAUUCGCAAACACAGAUUAUUAUAAACCAUUUAUUUUUUUCCAUUUAUUUAGGUCUUCUUUAAUUUAUUUCAGCAAUGUUUUAUUAUUUUCAGUGCACAAGUCUUAGUUAAAUUUAUUUCUAAGUAGUUUAUUCUUUUCUUUUUUCUUCUUUUAGUGAGGAAGAUUGGCCCUGAGCUAACAUCUGUUGCCAAUCUUCCCCCUUUUUUUUUCACUUGAGGAAGAUUGUCGCUGAGCUAACAUCUGUGCCAGUCUUCCUCUAUUUUAUGUGGGAUGCUGCCACAGCAUAGCUUGACAAGCAGUGCUAUGUCCACACCCAGGAUCCAAACCUGUGAACCCCAGCCAUCGAAGUGGAGUGUGUGAACCUAACCACUACACCACCAGACCAGCCCCAGUUUGUUCUUUUUGAUGCUAUUGUAAAUGGAAUUGCUUAUUUCAUUUUUGGAUCGUUCAAUGCUAGCAUAUAGAAAUACAUCUGAUUUUUGUAUGUUUUUAGUAUCCAUUUUAAAUCCUUGUUUCAUUUCUUAGUUUAUUCAAAACAUGGAAGGGGAAAAGAGCAUUAAUUGAGACUCUUUCAGAAACCAACACUUGAUAGACAUACAUUUGGUAGCUGAGGACAUGGAAUGAAGAUCAGACAGGAAGAGUGUACACCAUGACAAGGAAGCGUCAAGAAUGGAACUUUGGUGAACACCAACGAUGAGGGGGCAGUUAGAAGGAGAGUCACGCACGCAGGCGUCUGAGAAGCCACAGUCAGAGAAGCAGGAGGAAAACUACAUGUUUCGUUCUUUAUUGCCAUGUAAAGUCCACCACAAAACUUGAGGCUUAAAACAACAACUAGACCAGCUCUGCUUUCCCUCUUUUUCAUGUACCAGGCUUAGUAUUUGACAAAACAGUUUUGCCCAAAAUAAAAUAAGUCUAGAUACCACUAAAUUAGAUUUAUGUGUUCUUUUAGUCCCAAGAUUUAAAGGUUUGAUGUCGCUGAUGAGGAGGUAAUGGGCUAGGGCAGUGGUUUGCUAGUUAAUGUUUAACAACCGGCUCUCUAGAAAGAAAAAGCCCUGACCUGUAGCCUUCGCCAACUUCCAUGGCAUGAAUAGCCCCACCAUGACUGAUUUCAAGAUGCCGAGGUGCUGUCACUGAAUGCAGAGUUGGGAAAAGAGUGCAACAGUCCAGCGUUCUUCAGUAUUUCCACCAGACAGAUGAAAUCGGCAUAAAUAACCUUAACAGUGUAGAUAAUAGUGGCAAGUUUUGAGUAUUUAUCACCUCUGUGUUUAAUAUAAUUUAUUUUAAGUUCAUAUAAUUUGAUUUUUAAUUACGGCUAUGUUUAAGAAUUGACUCACAAAUUUCCUGAAAAUCAAACAAUUGGCUCUCAUGAGCUAGCACAGGUCGGCUUCAGUCAGGGCUGGAGGUACACUUUGAGCUAGGGGACAUGUCCUUGCAUAAAAAGAAGAACGGGGAAAUGAGGUCAGACGGACCUCUCUCAGACUUAUUUAUGAAAACUUGGGCAACUCACUGAAUCUCAGUUUCUUCAUCAGUAAAAUGGGAUAAUAUUUAUCUCUCAAGGUUCUUAUAUAGAUUAGAGAUAAAUACGUAGUCUGAUCCAUAAGAGGUGUUCAAAAGUGCUAGUUUAGGGGCCAGCCCGGUGGUGUAGUGGUUAAGUUCAUGAGCUCCGCUUCGGGGGUUAAUGGGUUUGGAUCCCGGGCAUGGACCUACACACCACUCAUCAAGCCAUGCUGUGGCGGUGUCCUACAAUCAAAAUAGGGGAAGAUUGGAAUGAAUGUUUGCUCAGGGACAAUCUUCCUUACAAAAAAAAAAAAAGUGCUAGUUUAAUAUUAUUUUUCUGUUUUUAAGCAUUUCCAAAUUUAAGCAUAGCUUCAAUUUUCCUUAGUACACAGAAAUACAGUUGAGAGUUACCCAGGGCGCAACUGGGAGUUCCAAGUCCCACAUUAGGUAUAGCAUUUGUGCGAGGACACAGAUGCAACUCAGUUUCACUUAUUAGACACUUUGCACGGGCAGAGCCUUGGAAAUCUUGCCCCCGGGAGCUUGGGAAGAGGGCGAGCAGAGAAUCAGGCUCACGGCCGCCCUAGAAAUUGAGGAAUCAGCCUGUGGUUAUGUGUCCCCCCUGCAAGGCCUGCCUCAAUCCCCAAGUGUAUUCCCAACAGACUGCUCAGAAACUUGACAAUUCUACCCUUUAAAUUUCAAAUAUGUUACCUAAAGGGAGCAAAGGUUUGCCCUGAGCACAUCACAGGGAUCAGCUUAUCGGUCAGCCUGGAGGGCAGAGAGCAGGACCCCAGAGAAAUGUCAUCUGAGGCGGGUAUGUGGUUCCGGGACCGAGUAAGGGAGGACUGGGGCAAAGUUUCCGACAUGGAGUGGGACUUUGCAGGGGCCUGUUGGGGUAUGAAGGAAGGAAAAGCUACAGAGCAGCAGUGGCAGGGAAGGGUCAAGAAGAGACACAAAACCAGUUCUGCCCCACCUCCCAGAGCUGCGUAGAGUCUGGUUUCACACCACCCCGUGAGAAAGCUAACGUCCUCUUUGCUUUUCUGUCCCCUCAACGGCAAGUGCCAGGGAAACAGUUAAUCAGGAAGUAAACGCACAGCAGCUGGCACUCGAUCCGCCUUCGACUCACUUGUCAACACUUCGUAGCCUCUUUGGAGAGGCCUGUGGAAAGGUGAACUGAGAGAAACCAUGCUAAUCGCUUCACCGGAUAAAAGAAUUCCUCCACCCAGUAGGGAGAAAGCAAAAGAGAAAAGCACAUUAAUCCCCCCAAUUAUGAUUCCUGUUACAAUAGCUGUGGACUUCUUGAUGGGCAAACGCAAUUCCCUCAAAGCAUUUGCUUAAUGUUCUUUUAGGGAAGGGAAGGGAAAAGAAGGAAGGAAAUUAAUAUUUUGAAGAUAAUAACUAAUUAUCUCCUGUUUUGAUAGGGUAGAGAAAGGAAAAUUUGCUUUGAACUGAAAUGGAAAUAGUUUUGAGCAUUCUGAGAGAGGCUGUGUACAGACUUGGGAAUCGGAGGAAGGAAGGGUAAUUGUGCCAAAGACGAAGAGAUGAACUAAAUGACCUCUGGAACCUCUUCUAACUCACUCUCCUGCUCUCCUAACCCCGAGAAGGCUCCGAGAUGUUAGUGCCAUCUUUUCCAGAGUCCAGUGUGUGUGGUCAAAGGGGCCACACUCAGCAUGGUGGCCUCUGUGAGAGUGGGGACAUUAUAGGGCCAAGAAGUCAUUGGUUCAACAGAGAGUCUGUGAAAUCCUUCCCAACAAGAUGACUCAAGUUCUGUAAACUUCAGGAGACUCAAAGGAAUCUGGGAAGAAGAAAGCCAGAAAGGCAGCAGAGAUUCCUUUAUCCCUGGUGAUUGGGAAGCUGAGAGGACUUUGCUCAGAGUGAACCAACUCCGCCACAGGGCCUGCUUCAUGACUCUCUGGGGCUGCUAGACAGGGCUCCCAAACAAAGCUCUCCUGGUUUCUCCAAACCUCAGUUUCCUCAUCCACAGAAAGAGGGCAUUGGUAUCUACCUCCUAUAUUUAUUGAGCAGGUUACAUGAGAUAACAUCGAUCUAGCAUCUAGCACAGGGCCUGGCACGUAGCAAGUUAGUACAUGGGAGCUGUUUUUAUGACAUUAUUUUUAGUGAAACUCUGAAAGAAACAACACAGGGAAGGCAGAGUGGAAAAACCUGCAAGAGGAUCCUCUGGUCUAUGAAAUAAACAAAAGAUUGCUUUGUAUGGCUUUUUUCCUCCUCUGGGUAAAACCAAGGAGCAAAGAUACCAUUCUAAAGUUGUGGUCCAUGUUGUCAAAAAGGAACAUAAUGUAACCAGGAUCAUCUGCGUUUUUACCCAAAAAAAUGACAAGGAUAUUUGACCCCACACUGUAGAGUCAGGAUCAAAUGCAGAGAGCUCAGCCCCUCUACUGUUCUCUCAUGACCCCAGAAAAGUCAGAAUCCUCAGGCUGAGUGAUUUGGGGCAACGUAUGGCAUGAUACUGAGUGGGAGGACUCCGGGUUGAGUGAAGAAUGGAAAAUUCCCAUUUUUAUUGUGGCUCCAUAACUGGUGUGUUAAAGAUGAAAAAAAAGGGAUAGAAAUAAUGCAGACCAGAAUUGGGGGUGGCAGAACCAGGAAAGUCAGGGACCCCAGAAGUAGAAUUGAGAAAAAAAUACACUAGAGCAGCUCAAGAAAUAUUCCCAGUCAUCACCCCCCUGAUUUUCCAGAUAACAAAACUGAGGCUCAUAAAGUCAAAUUUCUGGCUGAAGUCCACAGUUAACAAAUCUGGGUCUCCUGGCUUCAUUCUAGCACUCUUUCCAUAUCCAGGGAUCAGAGAGAAGACCCUCAGAGGGAAGAGCCAAAAAGGGGGGAGAAAGGUCAUUUCUAUUCAAGUCCCAAGAUCUGUGAUUGGUUAGCUGGCAACUUACAACUUCAUGAAAGGAAACUUGAAUCUGAGAACUGUCACCAGGAGAAGGCCCAGGGGGUGGAAGCCCAGUGUUAAGACAACAAGAGGUUGGAAUUGAGCAAUGGAUGGCAGGAGUCCAGGCACCGGAAGGGAGCAAAUGCACCUGUUUGGGCACCGAAGCAUGACAGGACUUGGGCAGGUCUCACCCCAACAGGAGAGAAGCUGGAGGAGGACAGAAAGCAAAAGGCUUGAUUGAAAAAACUCACUUUACAACUCUAUCCAAGUUUCCAGCACAUCAGUGGAGGCAUUUUUUUUUCCCUUGCUGCCCAGCAUCUAAAUCCCUCUUCCUAAUUCUGAGGAAUCCGCCAUUGGGAGUCAGAGCAUUCUUCUGGCAUCAGCACAGCAGGAGUUAACCAGAGGACAUGAGCCCAGCAUAACUAUGCUGUAUCUUCUGAUUGGUAGCCAACACAUGCAGAGUACAGAAGCAAACAGGCAGAAAAUCUGUCACUUCUUGUCCUCAACUGCCAAAGAGACCACAUAGGUUCUAGGACCACAUCACCACCCAGGGCUCUGAACGGUGCAAAGUCAUAGAAGCAGUGAUGUCGGAUCUGUGGUGGUGGCUGAAGUGGUCUAGCAUUGAGAUCACUCUCCAAGGAUAGUGACCAUGGUUGACAAUGGUGGUGGCAUCCUGACCACGUUAUGUCUGCUACCUAACCACCAUGGUUUCCAAGACUGCUUCUCCUACCCUCUUACAGAUUCUGUGAGCAACCUUUCAUUAAUUUAUUUUCCACCGUUGUUGGUCAGCAUCCAACUGCAGGCACCUGGCUGACACAGGCACUAUUCCUCACCUGCAACAGGAGAAGCUAUGGAGUUUUAGAAGGCUAAGAUUCAGCUCAGUUGUGACUCUUACAAAGGCAGAUGUAAGAGCACUAUGGAAGAUGGAAAUGUUCACAGUGGAACACAUACUGGGGAAACACAUUUGCAGAACCAUCUGUUAUACUUGCUAAAACCACUUCUAUGAUGCUGGCAGAGAGAUUUGGCCAGAGAGUCCUGCCACUCUGCUCUCUGUAGGGACAGACCCACGUUCAAGUUGGAGGUUUAGAAACUUGCCCAGGGUCACAUAGGUAGCCAAGUGGCAGAAUGCUUAGAAGCUGUUGGGUUCAAUUGGGCUUUGAAACGUCAGGAAGAAAAGAGGCUUUGGUUCCUUUUAAAAAGAGGCAUUAGAGGGGGCUGGCCCCGUGGCCGAGUGGUUAAGUUCGCGUGCUCCGCUGCAGGCUCCGCUGCAGGCGGCCCAGUGUUUCGUUAGUUCGAAUCCUGGGCGCGGACGUGGCACUGCUCAUCAGACCACACUGAGGCAGCGUCCCACAUGCCACAACUAGAAGAACC